rnacentral:rRNA from 1 species
GACGAACGCUGGCGGCGUGCUUAACACAUGCAAGUCGAACGGAAAGGCCUGCUUUCCCUUGUGGAUUGCGGGUACUCGAGUGGCGAACGGGUGAGUAACACGUGAGUGAUCUGCCCCCAACUUGGGUAUAAGCCUGGGAAACUGGGUCUAAUUCCCGAUAGGACUGCAGGGUGGUGCCUGUGGUGGAAAACGAUUUUCUAGUGGUUGGGGAUGAGCUCGCGGCCUAUCAGCUUGUUGGUGGGGUAAUGGCCUACCAAGGCGGCGACGGGUAGCCGGCCUGAGAGGGUGGACGGCCACAUUGGGACUGAGAUACGGCCCAGACUCCUACGGGAGGCAGCAGUGGGGAAUAUUGCACAAUGGGCGGAAGCCUGAUGCAGCGACGCCGCGUGGGGGAUGACGGCCUUCGGGUUGUAAACUCCUUUCGACCGCGAGGAAGCCACCUGGUUGGAAGGGUGGUGACGGUAGGGGUAGAAGAAGCACCGGCUAACUACG